GAACUAAUAAUGUUAUGAACUUCUAAUUCAUUAAAUAAAUAAUUAAAAAUUAUUUUUAGUUCU
rnacentral:tRNA from 1 species